UGAAGGUGAAUUAUCUGCAGUCAUUAAGUGAGCAUUUUAAUUUUGGAAGACUUAAUUGUUUGGUUUUUAUAAUAAUAUGUGAUAAAUCUGUCAGCAAGAACAGAAGUGUGUGUGUGUGUGUGUGUGUGUGUGUGCGUGCGCGCGCGUGCACGCCCAUUCUUCAA
rnacentral:sRNA from 1 species